GAUGAACGCUGGCGGCGUGCCUAAUACAUGCAAGUCGAGCGAACAGACGAGGAGCUUGCUCCUCUGACGUUAGCGGCGGACGGGUGAGUAACACGUGGAUAACCUACCUAUAAGACUGGGAUAACUUCGGGAAACCGGAGCUAAUACCGGAUAAUAUAUUUAACCGUAUGGUUUAAUAGUGAAAGACGGUUUUGCAGUCACCUAUAGAUGGAUCCGCGUCGAAUUAGCUAGUUGGUAAGGUAACGGCUUACCAAGGCAACGAUGCGUAGCCGACCUGAGAGGGUGAUGGGCCACACUGGAACUGAGACACGGUCCAGACUCCUACGGGAGGCAGCAGUAGGGAAUCUUCCGCAAGGGGGGAAAGCCUGACGGGGCAACGCCGCGUGGGUGAUGAAGGUCUUCGGAUCGUAAAACUCUGUUAUUGGGGAGGAACAAAUGUGUAAGUAACUAUGCACGUCUUGACGGUACCUAAUCAGAAAGCCACGGCUAACUACGUG
rnacentral:rRNA from 1 species